UCCCUGGUGGUCCAGUGGCUAAGACUCCACACUUCCAAAUGCUGGGGGCCCGGAUUCAAUUCCUGGUCAGGGAA
rnacentral:tRNA from 1 species